GGAUAUGCCUAGGUGGGAUUAGCUAGUUGGUGAGGUAAGGGCUCACCAAGGCGACGAUCCCUAGCUGGUCUGAGAGGAUGAUCAGCCACACUGGAACUGAGACACGGUCCAGACUCCUACGGGAGGCAGCAGUGGGGAAUAUUGCACAAUGGGCGCAAGCCUGAUGCAGCCAUGCCGCGUGUGUGAAGAAGGCCUUCGGGUUGUAAAGCACUUUCAGUCGUGAGGAAGGUGGUGUAGUUAAUAGCUGCAUCAUUUGACGUUAGCGACAGAAGAAGCACCGGCUAACUCCGUGCCAGCAGCCGCGGUAAUACGGAGGGUGCGAGCGUUAAUCGGAAUUACUGGGCGUAAAGCGCAUGCAGGUGGUUUGUUAAGUCAGAUGUGAAAGCCCGGGGCUCAACCUCGGAAUAGCAUUUGAAACUGGCAGACUAGAGUACUGUAGAGGGGGGUAGAAUUUCAGGUGUAGCGGUGAAAUGCGUAGAGAUCUGAAGGAAUACCGGUGGCGAAGGCGGCCCCCUGGACAGAUACUGACACUCAGAUGCGAAAGCGUGGGGAGCAAACAGGAUUAGAUACCCUGGUAGUCCACGCCGUAAACGAUGUCUACUUGGAGGUUGUGGCCUUGAGCCGUGGCUUUCGGAGCUAACGCGUUAAGUAGACCGCCUGGGGAGUACGGUCGCAAGAUUAAAACUCAAAUGAAUUGACGGGGGCCCGCACAAGCGGUGGAGCAUGUGGUUUAAUUCGAUGCAACGCGAAGAACCUUACCUACUCUUGACAUCCAGAGAACUUUCCAGAGAUGGAUUGGUGCCUUCGGGAACUCUGAGACAGGUGC
rnacentral:rRNA from 1 species